GCCUCUAUGGCUCAGUGGUAGAGCGUCGCACUUGUACCAGUUACAGGGUAAUGCGAAGGUCCAUAGUUCGAUCCUGUGUGGAGGCU
rfam:Purpureocillium lilacinum isolate PLFJ-1 scaffold00014, whole genome shotgun sequence.